CAAAUAUCUUCCACUGAGAUCGUGUGGUUUUAAUCAUACAAGGAGAGUGGCAGAAGAACAGAAAGAUUGAAACCAAGGACAGAGAACACCUGAAAUUGCUUCAGGGUCAUAUGUCACAGCGCUGGGCAUUUCAUUUGGGUAUCUAUCAUCAUUCCCAUUCUGCAAUGAGGAAAUGCUGUCAGAGUGAUUAAGUAAUUUGCCCAUGGUCUCACAUAGAAGCCUGUCUUCUCCAGGGAACACAGCACUCAGAAUCGUCUCGGCCCCUGCAUAAGCCUGCAUGAGCCUGGGCUCUGGGGACCCAUCCUGGUGCAUCAUUCGUUGGCUCUGUGACAAUGGGCACAUCGUUUAACCUCUCUUGGCUUCAUUCUCCUUACUGGAAUGAUGGAGAGAGUUUUGCCUAUUUCAGAGGCUUGCUCUUCUAUACGUGAGCCUAUAAGUAACUUGUCUUAAGAAUUUCCACUCCUUCUGUACUCUGAUUUAAAUUUGAAGGCAUCAAAACAAAAACAAUCAAGAUUUCAGAUUCCAAAUACUUUCAUUUUCAUUUUUUAUUUUGAUUAGAAUUUCUUCUGAAUGAAUUUCUGUUUUGUAAUUUUAGCAUUGCCCUGAGGGGGGGAAAAGGCAGUUUAUCACCAUGCAGUAUAUUUUUCAGACAGCCUCUCUUUGACAAACUGAUUUUUGUCAGUCUCAACUGACUCACCAAUUCCAAAUCCCAGGGCUUCCCUGGGAAACUUCCUUGGAUCAUGGCUCUGCCACACAGGACCGACAUCCCAGAGGCCAAAGCAACCUGCUAUAAACUGAGAUCAUUGCUCAGCAAGCUGGUACCACAUGCAAGGAGUCUCAAGAGCUAACAGGAAAUGAUUCAAGACCAGAAUUACCCAGAACAAGUGUGUUAGCUUCCUCUGCGCAUGGGAUAAUAAGGAGCUUGCAUCACCAACCUUCCGUGAAUAGCCUACUCAGUGAUUCAACAGGUUUCAAAAUUGUGAAAUAAGGGAUGUCUCUUGCAUGGUGUACUUUAGAAGUCUCUACCUGAGGAUGAAGGAAGUACCCAGGAGUAGGCAUCAUUCCACUUUUGUACCAUCUUCCACUAUGUUUAUAUGGGUCCUCACUGAGAAAAAGAAACUGCACAAAAGAAAGAAAAAUGCAAGUUGGAGAAGAGACCAACAUGGAGCUUGUGCUUGCUCUCAUUAAGAACUCAAUCUCUUGAAAAAUCACAUUCUAAUAUUUCUAUGGGUGAGCACGGAUUUCACAUCAGCUCCCCAUAGCCUUCUUGGGUCCAUCAGUUCAUCACUUCUAGAAGUUGGCCACCUGUGAAGCCACUUAGGGGAGGUCACUCAUCACUGCUGGUGACAGUGGUGCUCUGUGUGUGAAUACUCAUGUUCAUACCCAUGGCAGGGGAUUUUCUCUCCAGGUUAAACAGUGUUGCUGUGUUUCCCUCUCUCUUCCAGUCUCACACGUUCAGGAAAAUUAAUCCCCAAAGUCCUCAUUCAUUAUUUAGCAAAUAUGUUCAAAUAGGAGAGAAUAUCAGCUUAAGUUUAAGCUAAGGCCCUCUGCUAAGGAAAUACAAAAUAUAUAUGUGAAAAGGAAAUUCUAGUUGAAGAACAGUAUGAAAACUCCCAAAAUGGGCUGGAGAAUUUGUGAUUACAGUCUUGAGAGAUCAUUUAAAAAUAGAAUCAGAUUAGCAAAUGCGUUCAGUGCUAGGUAGGGGAGUUAGUCAUAAAUCUAACAGGCUCUAUGUAGAGCCACUGAAGACAGACAUAGUUAAAACUCAAGUUGAUUUCUGUAUAUUAUUUUUAAUGACUUAGAAUUCAAUCCAAAAUUUGCUUAGUGUUAUUGUGUACCUUUAUGCAAAUAAUGUACACUUUCUAAGCAUCAGUUAUUCUUCUGUGAAAUUGGGAUAAUUUUACUUUUGUCAAGGGCUGCCCUGAGGAGUGAAUCAGAUGCUAUACGUAAGCUCAGUGGGUACAAGGCCUAAUAGUAGUGGCUUAAUGCGUGUACUCUUCUUCUUUUUCCUUAAUAGAAGAAUAAGGUGAAAUUAAAAACAAGGUUGAUAAUUACAUGUAUAUUUUAAUGAUUCAUCAAUCAAUAAAUGAUAACAUUAACAAUAAUUUUACUGUCAGUACUUAGAAGUUAAAAGGAGAAUGGUAAAAUCAGUCUGUUGAUCCUAAAAGUUUUAUUUUUUCUUUCAUCCUUUCAUAAAUUAUAUCUGAAUCUAGAUUACUGAAAUGCAACAAAUAAAAAUAUUUACAAAGCUAUCUUCUCUUUUAGUGAAUAUAAUGUUAUUAGAAAAUAACGGUUACUUCAUUAUUCAACAUUCAAUGUGUCUUCUGACUUUCUUACUCCAAUUUAUAUAAAAAAUUUUUAGAAUUUUUAAAUAACAAUGUUAUUGACAUAAAAUUCACAUACCCUGCAAUUUGCUGAUUUAAAAUGUAAAUGAAAUUAUUUUUAGUAUAUGCACAGAGUGAUACAGCCACCAUCGCAAUAAAUUCAAGAACAUUUUAUCGCCUAUCAAAAAACCCUCAUCUCCCUAUAGUCACUCAGCUUCCCUGCCUCACUUCCACAACUCUAGGCAACCACUAAUCUAAUUCCUGUUUCUAUAGGUUUCUCUAUUCUGGACUUUCACAUAUAAGGAAUCAUAUAAUAUGUGGUCUUUUGUCUCUGGCUUCUUUUACUUAGCAUCAUGUUUUCAAGGUUCAUCCAUGCUGAAGCAUGGGUCAGGACUUCAUUCUUUGUAUUGCCAAAUAAUAUUCCAUUGUAUGGAUGCACCACAUUCUAUUUACCCAUUCAGGAUUUAAUGUACAUUUGAGUUGGUUUCCAAAUUUUGGCUAUUGUGAAUAAUGCUGCUAUAGAAUUACAGAAUUUUAGAAGGUGCCAUAUGGCUUAUGUGGCCCGUUCCUCUCCAUUUACAGAUAUGCUAAUGAAGCAUCACAAAAGUGGGGUGAAUAGCCUAUGUCUCAGUGCUUCUCAGUAGCAAAACAUUAACUAGAACCCAGUUCUUGUAAUUAUUUUAUAACUGCCAUUCCCAUCUCUACCAAUAGUUUGCAAGGUUUUAGAGGGACGGCCUUGCACUAACAGUUAAAAUGGAUUAAGUAGCAGAUAUGAGCCAGUCUCUGUAUCCCCAGCAAUAUACAGUGUAGUGGAAUAUACAACACGACUUGGUGAUUGGGUCUGAUUCUAUUAAUCUCUGAAAGACUUAUCCUAGUGCAGAGCACGUAGUGAGCAUAUAAUAGGAAAUUGUGUAACUAGUAUGUUGGAAGAGCUGAAGUCAUGGGGUAUAAGCAUGCAAGCAACUUAAUGUUUGAUUUUUAUUUUCCCUUUAAGCCAUUCAUUGUGGUAGUUUUUUUGAAAUAAUCCUAGAUAAAAAUUUGGAUAGGCCCCAAUAAAUUAAAAGCCCUAGAAUCACAUUAUGUCACAAAACAGCUUUAAUUCAGUACUUAGAAUAGUAAACCUAUGUAAGAAUGAAAGGUUUCAUCUUCACUGAAGUAGAGUCUUCUCUCGUGCCUAAGGCUCACAGCCAGCCAGCAACAUGCAAGGGCUGGGGAGAUAAGGUACAAGAGGAGCUGGUGAGGCCUAAUAAAAUGGAUGCUGUGACAAGAUGGGCCUGUGUUCUCUAGACCUGGCCAGUUGUUACAACCUGUUUCUUUCAUGGCUGCUUUUAUGGGUUCUUUAGAGUUUAUCUCCCCCGUCACUGGGUGGCUACAAUUCUCUUGACACGAAUGAUUUACACCUUUCUGGUUUGUCACUUUAUCCCUCCUUAGCUUCUAGGAAUACAGCAACCCUUCAGCCAGAUCACCCCUCCUGGUGGCCCUACUGGAAAGUUCUAGAUAUUCCUUUGUAUGAAUGGUCCACAUCUGGUUCCCUGGAAAUUCUCAUGCACCCUUUGCCCUCCAAGGGCCAAAUCCAGUGUAGCCUUGCUUCUACUCAUCUUUCAGCAGCAGGGAAAUAUCCUUAUUCCACCCUUCCUCUUUGUUAAACCAGUCAAGUCUGUCCCUCUUCCCACCCUGCUAAAUACUUCAGACCACACAUAUUCUGUCCUCUGAUCAGUUUCCUUCAAGUUCCUCUCUUGACUUGAGAUGGUGAGAAAUAUGUCCUCCCACUUGGAGUGUUGAUGUGUUUAGGGGAGGGGACAGAACUCACAUCACAGCUCUCUCUCCAAGUAAAUAUUCCUGAACAUUCUUUCUGAAGCUUUUGUACUUUAGAUAUAGAAGAGGAGUUCAGCAGUCAGGGAACUGCUUUUUAUUAAAAACAAACAAACAAAACCUAAAACAUUUGACACUUUGCAUUUUGGUCUGUAGCCUUACUUUAGAAUAUCAUAUCUAUUAUAUCUUGGUCUCUCAAAUGUAAUUUACAAUUUAAUGUCUGGUUAUACUUUGAAAUUGUCUAGAAGGCAGGGUAUUACAAUAAAAGGAACAUUGACUUAGAGUGAUACUAGCUAUCAUGUGUGGAACUCUAUACCAGACACCAUGCUAAUUUAUUUAUUUAUUUAUUUAUUUAUUUAAGAUAGUGUCUCACUCUGUCGCUGGGCUGGAGUGCAGUGGUGUGAUCUCAGCUCACUGCAACCUCUGCCUCCUGGGUUCAAGCGAUUCUCCUGCCUCAGCCUCCCAAGUAGCUGGGAUUACAGGCACCUGCCACCCCUGGCUAAUUUUUGUAUUUUUUAGUAGAGACGGGGUUUCACCAUGUUGGCCAGGCUGGUCUUGAACUCCUGGCCUCAAGUCAUCUGCCCUCCUUGGCCUCUUAAAGUGCUGGGAUUACAUGCAUGAGCCACCACACCUGGCCCAAAUAAUUUAUUAACAUUAUCUCAUUAAUCUCUUUCAACAACUCAAUGAUAGAGCUAUUUUGAUCUUCAUUCAAUAAAGCAGGGACUUAAACCUUCAAAAGGUAUCAUCUAGAAUGGUGUACUAAAGGUGUAGUUUAUUUGGGUGCUUUCAACAGGAAGAAACAGAGCAAUCGCACACCCUUAAAUGGCUUCAACAACAGAAAGCAGCACUAUUUUACAUAGUAGUUAACCCAGAGAUAGGGGCCAUGCCAGUGCUAGUUAAUCUGACGGCUCAAGGAUGCGUCAAGCACCUGGGUUCUUUCAAUCUUUUGGUUAUGCAUCCUUGGUAUUUAAGCCUGUCCUAGGCUAGUUCCUUUUGCUAUCACAUGAUGGUUGCCACAUUUCUAGAAAUCAGAUCUAGAUGAGACAAUGCUUAGAAUAAUUGUUUCUCCCUUUUAGUAAAACUCUUCCUAAAUCUCACCAUGAGUGCCUGAACAAAAUGGAAUUCUGCAACAAGGAAGAAAAAGGAGGAUAUACUCUAGGUGUAGAGUUGACGACUGGUUACAGGGGUUUAAGUAACUGGACUUAAGUGGUUAAAGGAGUCUUACCUUCUCAGUUCCUUAGUUCCUUCACCUGUAAAAUCAGAGUUUUGUGUCCUGGUGAUUGUCUAUUUGCUUUUUUAUUACAGCAAAGCUGAUGGUACUUUAUGGUAUCCUUUAAAAGAAGUAAAUAUUUAAGAGUAUGACUUUUAGGUCAUUAACAAGACUGGAUCAUUGUCUUGAAAGUAAAAACACCCACAUUUCAAUUAUUGUUAGUUUUUUGUUCUUUCAGUGAUAAAUCACCAUAUAAUGUUAUGGAAGAGUUACUCAGGAGCUUCGAAUACUUAUCUCUAGAGGCAGCAGAUGUUUGUUUGUUGUAGAUGAAAUAAAUCUCCAAAGUAGACAGAUUUAUCUGUCAAUCAAUAUGGGCAUAUAGAGAGUGAGGAGACAGUGGACCUAGGCAGGCUCACACUGGCUGACCAUCACCCAGGUCAGUUGCCACACUCGUUCUGCAACUUUGAAAGGAACACACAAAGCACAGCCUCAUGCACAGCCAGUGAACAACUGGGCUCAGAUUAUCUGCGGACGCUAUAGUUUAUUUAUUUAUGUAUUUUCUCUUUUUUAGACAAGGGCUUUCCCUGUUGUCCAGGCUGGAAUGCAGAGGUGUGAUCCUAGCUCAUUGCAGCCUCAACCUCCUGGACUCAAGUGAUCCUCCCACCUCGGCCUCCCAAGUAGCUGGGACCACAGGGGUGUACCACCAAGCCCGGCUAAACUCAUUAUGUUGCCCAGGCUGGUCUCAAACUUCUGGCCUCAAGUGAUCCUCCCACCUCGGCAUCCCACAGUGCUAGAAUCACAGAUGUAAGCCACCACACUGGUCCAAGUGCAGUUUAGAUUGUUGCUCAUGCUGUUAGUCAUUUCUGGUUUUGGUUAACUUUUAUUUGUUUUAGACAGUGUCUUGCUCUGUCACCUGGACUGGAGUGCAGUGGUGUGAUCUCAGCUCACUGCAACCUCUGCCUCCGGGGUACAAGCGAUUCUCCUGCCUCAGCCUCCCAAGUAGCUGGGAUUACAGGUACCUGCCACCACACAUGGCUAAUUUUGUAUUUUUAGUAGAGACAGGGUUUUUACUAUGUUGGCCAGGCUGGUCUUGAACUCCCCUGACCUCAAGUGAUUGGCCUGUCUUGGCCUUCCAAAGUGCUGGAAUUUACAGGCGUGAGCCACCAUGCAUGGCCUCAAAUAGUAUUUUCUAAUAGUAUUUUGCACCUUUAAAAUAUUUGUUCAAACUCUAUUUUAGGCUAACCUUUGAGUACAUAGAGAUGUUUGCUCUAUUGCAGAUCUUGCUCUAAAGUUGAUCUUUCUUCCAAGCUCCUGACUUUUAUAUGAAGCUGAAGAUUCCCUAAUUAUACUUCCAUAGCUCAGGAAAAUAACUUUCAGACUUAUCCAAAAUCAAGCUCUUAAUCCUAACUGGAAGUUUUCAAUACCUGCUUAACACUCAGUUCUCAAUUGUAUUUUCUCAGAGAAGUUUCCCUCACUGUCCUGGUCUAAAUGAACUCACUCUGUUGCAUCCUCCUUCUCUCUCAUGAUGUUUAUCACACCAUGCAAUUAUAUAUUCAUUUGUGUGCCUCCUUGCUCAGUGUUUCACACUUCACCAAUCUGUGCAUAUCAGGAGGGUAGUGACCAUGUCUCUUUUGUUCACAAUUACAUUACUUGGCACAGUAUACAGUAGGUGUUCAAUAAGUAUUGUGGAAUUCAUGAAGGAUACUGCACCAUGUUUCAGAAGUUUGAAGAUGCUAGUUUUAUUAUAUCUGAAGAAACCCACCACCUUAUGCAAAAAGAAAUUACUGGGAUGCUUUAAUAUCUAAAACAUCUCUGCUGAAAGAGUCUUGUUUGUUGAAUGGAUUUAGAAAGAGAUAAAACAUUUGAUAGUGAAGAAAUGUUAUAGUAUACUGUCUUUAAUUCCUGGAUUAAAAUUUGAUAUGUUAAGAGAAGUCCAGGGUAAUAAUAGACAAAAAUUACUAGAUAACUCAAACAAAAUGUACUUGAUAUUCACUUAUCAUGAAAUACAGGUUUGUGGACUAGAUUUCUUGCUCAUUAGGAAUAUUAAAGAUCUUCAACUUCCCUUUUUUUGACAAAUUAGCAAGUUUAUGUCCAAAUAGGUUACUUGGUUUGCUCUCUACCAAUGUCACAUUGUAUAGGGGACACUAAUCACUGGUCUUCUAAUUCCUAGUCUGGUAUUUAUUUCAUUUUGUAAUUAUUUUUUAAAAGUUAUGAGGACCAUAAACAUAUUAUUUUGUGACAUAAUCUUAGCAAAAGGGCAAAGAAAGAAACUUUCAGGAUCUUAUUGUUAAGUAGUUGGAAUUUUUAAGUAACUUAUUUUACUAAAAUUUCUCUAAUUCAUAGUAACACUUAUUUCUUUAUUUCUUCAGAAAAAAACGUUGUUGUGAACGUUGGUCAUCCAUAAAAUAGAAUAUUAUUUAGUGAUAAAAGAAAUGAACUAUCAAGCCAUAAAAAAAAGUUCAAGAAACUGAAGUGUAUAUUGCAAAGUAAGCGAACCCAAUUGAAAAGGCUAUAUACUAUAUGAUUCCAACUUUAUGACAUUCUGGAAAAGGCUAAACUAUGGAGACAGUGAACAGAUUAAAAAAAACAAUGGUUACCAGGGUAUGUAGGGGAGGGAGGGAUGAAUAGGUAAAACACAGAAGAUAUUUAGUAUAGAGAAGCUAUUCUAUAUAAUGGUGGAUACGUCAUUAUACAUUUGUCAAAACCUGUAAAAUUUACAACACUAAGAGUGUGAACCCUAAGGUAAACUAUAGACUUUGGGUGAUAAUGAUGUAUCAAUUUGGUUAAUCAAUCAUAACAAGUGUACCACUCUGGUGGGGGAUAUUGAUAUUGGUGGAGGUUGUGCCUGUGGGGUCAGGAGGCAUACAGGGACUCCAUACUUCCCACUCAAUUUUGCUUUGACCCUAAAACUGCUCUAAAAAUAAAAUCUAUUUAUUAAAUGUGAAUAAAUAAAUAGGUAGGUAAGUAGGUAGAUAGAUGAUAGAUAAAUGUUGCUCAUUCCUUUUAUUUUCAUUAGUGAUGGUUCCCACUGUGCAAACAAUUUGUGGAGUGCCCUGCUUUAGAUAGCAAUAGGCAGUGUGGCACGGCAAGGCAUCAAGUCAAACCAGGGUCAGCACUUGGGUUCUGCAGGCUGCACAUUGCCUGCCAUGGUGAACGUGUCCCUCCAAAAUUCCUAUUUGAAAUCCUAACUUUCAAGGUGAUGGCAUUAGGAGAGGAGAUUAGGUCAUGGGGGCUUUGUUUUCAUGAAUGAAAUUAGUGAAAAGAGGCCUGAGGGAGCACCCUUGCCCUUUCCACCAUGUGAGGACACAGCAAGAAGACGGCUGUCUGUGAACCAGGAAGCAAGUCCUCAGCAGACACUGAGUUUGCUGGCACCUUGUCUUUGGACUUCCCAACCUCCAGAAAUAUGAGAAACAAACUUCUCUUAUGUAUAAACUACUUCACUUAUGGUACUUUGUUAUGGCAAUCCAAAUGGAUGAAGACUCUGCCCAGGCUUAUGGGCACCAUCCACAUAGACUAGGAUCUGAUUCUCCUUUGAGUUGUAACAUAGCAGCCCUCAUUCGAGUCCAUCCUCCCUUAGAAAAUUGACUGUGACUUUGGUCAAUAAAUUUAAGCUUUUUGUAUAUUUGGCAUUUCAUUUCCUAUAAAAUUGAGAUCAUAACAUAUACUUCAUAAAGUAUACAAAAAUAAUAUCCCAGAGGAAUAAUUUCUGCUGGGGGCAGAGACCUAUUAAGUGUGGCCUGCUCUAAAGGUUGUUAGAAAUGUUAUUUAUCCAUUACGGCAAAUCCUUCAGGUUUCCUCCUUAGGCUGGACUUUGGAAUCUUCUUGGAAGAUGAGGUUCUUCUUCAAUUCUUCAAUUAAAAAAAAGGCUAAGUUUGAUGAACUACAACAUCAGGAAUAAAAACAGGAAACAAUAUUCCAAGUGUGAUUCCAUCUACCAACGUAGAAGUAUGGACUACAGGCCAGAAUUCAAGAUCUCUAAGCCAUGCUCCAAUUAUCCAUAUUUGUUACUUUUGAUAUUUUCUGUUGCUUUUCCUUUUAGGGUGUAGCAGUUAAAACUUUCACUCUAAAAGUGCUCAGUGCCUGCCUUAGGAGAUACUGAGCACAUCACAGCCCAUCUUGGAAAAACAGACCUGUAAGGAUUUGAAUAGAUGGCAGUAGCCUAAAAAGAAGGGAAGGGAAGCAGGCUAAUGACCAGGAGGUGAUUUCUGUAGCGUGGGAGGAAAAAAAAGUUAUUGUUAGCCAUCCUGGUUCCAAGGGGAAAAGGGGCCGCUGCUGCCUAAGUAAAUUGCCUGACAGUGAGGCUCAAGAAAGAAUUUCCUUUCCUAGGGAGACAGUAUUAUUGGAUCUCUUAGGAAUUGCUUUCUUUCUUCCUGAUUGAAUUAUUCUUAAAUACAAGGUGUAUCUCCUUGUUUGAGUAAUAAUGCAAAUGCUGUUUUAUAUAAACUGUCUUCCCUUGACUCAUCAGAAAAUAAAACAGAAUCAUGGUAUCUAUAAUCCAGUGGCAAAUAUUUUAGAAAAAAACUAAUCUAAAUGGAAGGUAGCCUCACUGACUAUUUAGAGCCUAAUUCUUUUUUUUUUUUUUUAAUUUUUUAUUUUCUUGAGACCGAGUCUUG
rnacentral:lncRNA from 1 species